GACUCUAAUGGUGUUUUUUAUUUCUAGAAUGGUAAGAUACCAAACAUAUCAAUUUUAUCAUAUUAAAAUAUUGGCCUAUUUUAAUUGUCAUAACUUAAUAUCCUAGUAAAGGAAGUAGAUCUAUUAGGAACAUGUAUGAAAAUAAGCCUCUUCAAGUGAUAAAGUUCCCCUGGGGAAAGACUUUCUUUCCAUUAGAAAGGAAAUAAUACAAAAAUACAGGGGUAGUAAAGGAAUUUUAUCCCAAAUUAUUAAUAUGCCAGUAGUAGUCAACAAUAUUUGAGAUGUUUAAAUAAAAACUAUUAAACCAAGUAGCAAUACAUAGGAACUGGACAUCAAAAUACAGUUUUCUGCCUAGAAUGACAGGAUCAGCUCUGUCAUCUAAGGCUCAUUCCAGCUCUAAAGUUUACAGUUUUAAACGUACAAAUGUCAUAUAAACUUUGGAAGAGUAAAUUAAUAGUACAGGGUCAAUUUCCACAGAUCAUUUAGUCUUUAUUUAUCAUUUAUGACCUGGAAACCAUUCAUCUCCUGAAAAAAAAGAGAAGUUUUUAUUUACUUUCUCAUAGUGAGGACUCCGUGACAAUUAACUAAUAUCACAAAUUGGGGUAAGAUAAGCCAAUCUUUAGCUUAAAAUAUAAGCUAAAAAAUAUUUUAGCAUUUUUGCAACUGUGCAAAAUACCGAAAGAAUCCUUAUUAAAAUUCAAAUUCUUCACCAAAACGGUUACGUAGUUUUUAAA
rnacentral:lncRNA from 1 species